UACAGUUUUAAUGCAUGAUGAUGUCUGGUUUAGAGUUUUAAAUGCAUGUAUUACUGUAUUACUUGACCACUGUGUGAUUUUUGAAUUUAAGAUAUGAUUGUAUUACCGGGUAAUGCUCAUUGUUUAUGUGAUUGUGUUUAAUUUGGUAACGAAGAUUAAGGAUAAACAGAAAAUAGAUGUGAUCUAACAAAUGGAUAACAUGACAGCCUCAUUAGAUAUCCUGAGAGAUGGUGGACGGACCGGGUUCAUAGGGAAUCCUACCGUGAACGUUGUCUCAUACCGGACGGGGUAUGGAGACUUGGUCAUUUGGCGCUCAUACUGGAC
rnacentral:lncRNA from 1 species